rnacentral:rRNA from 1 species
UACGUAGGUGGCGAGCGUUGUCCGGAAUUACUGGGUGUAAAGCGCGUGUAGGCGGCAGGCCAAGUCGGUGGUGAAAGCGCCCGGCUCAACUGGGCGAGGUCCAUGGAAACUGGUCAGCUGGAGGACGGUAGAGGCGAGUGGAAUUCCCGGUGUAGUGGUGAAAUGCGUAGAGAUCGUAAGGAAGACCAGUGGCGAAGGCGAGUUUCUGGACGGUAACUGACGCUGAGGCACGAAGGCCAGGGGAGCAAACGGG